rnacentral:rRNA from 1 species
GGGCCCGCACAAGCGGUGGAGCAUGUGGUUUAAUUCGACGCAACGCGAAGAACCUUACCUACACUUGACAUCCUCGGAACUUUCUAGAGAUAGAUUGGUGCCUUCGGGAACUCUGAUACAGGUGCUGCAUGGCUGUCGUCAGCUCGUGUUGUGAGAUGUUGGGUUAAGUCCCGCAACGAGCGCAACCCCUAUCCUUAGUUGCUAGCAGGUAAUGCUGAGAACUCUAAGGAGACUGCCGGUGAUAAACCGGAGGAAGGUGGGGAUGACGUCAAGUCCUCAUGGCCCUUACGUGUUGGGCUACACACGUGCUACAAUGGUAUCUACAACAGGAAGCAAGAGGACGUUCACCACGGUGUGGUUCAUGACUGGGGUGAAGUCGUAACAAGGUACACGAUCUGCAAGGCACA